UGCAGCCCACAAACAACCCAAAAAAAACAAUUGUGAAGCCCAUUAUAAGAUUAAAAAUCGGCCCACUGAUUUAAACAAAUCAACCCAUACUAAAAAUUAGUAAAGCCCAAAAUAAAAGUCCAAAAUUUAAAGAACUAAAGCCCUAAAAUAAAGAAAUAAUUAAACAAGCUUCUCUCUCUCUCUUCAGCCCCCUCCCAUCGGUUCUCUCUCUCUGAACUCUCGCUUCUUCUCUCCAGAACCUCNACCAGUUCUGCCCUUCCUCCCAAGCUCCACGCCGGCCGCCUGCUCCAGCUCCGGCGAAAUCCUCGCCGGAAACACCUCCCUCUGGUCGUCCCUCUCUCACCUCACUCAAAACUCUCUCUCUCUCUUCUUCCAGAACCACCACUCUUCUUCCUCCCAGAUUCGUCGCCGCCGCCGCCGCCUGCUUCAGCUCCGGCGAAAUCGCCGAAUCCGAGGCCUCCCUCACUCAUCGCCUCCCUUCUCUCGAUUCCGGUAGCAGGCAGCCAAGGAGGGCCGCCGCCGCUGCUGCUCCAUUCAUGCCGUGUCAGCGGCGCUCGGCCUUAGGCCGCGCCGCCCCGGCCUCGCCCACGACGCCGCCUCGCUCCGACCCCGUCUGUCUUGGCCGUGGGUGACCGGCGAGCUGCUGCAACGCCUGCAGCACCGGCAGCCGCGGCUUUGACAGCUUGGCGUCGAGCUCAGACAGCCCGCAAUCGUCUCCCUCUCGUCUCUCAGACUCUCACACUCGACAAAUUAAACCUCUCAUACUCAACAGAUUAAGUGAAACAACCGCAUCUCCUCAGAUUGAGGAAAGAGAGUAACGGUAAGUUAUGAGUAAUUGGAUUUUUGAGGGGAAAGAUCAGUCUUUAGUUGUAGGUUCAGAUUUAGUGAAGAAUCAGGACUUCGAAAAUGUAACCAAGUGUGUUUGAAGAGAUUUAACCUUGUUGUUUGGGGAUUUUUUUUGAAUGCCAAAAAUUUGGUUCGUGUUUUAUUUUUUUGUAAUAUUCUGGUAACGCAGAUUAUGGAGUCCUUGUAUAUGUUCUUGUGCAGGGAUUCUAGUCCAGUAUAUGUAUAGUUCAAUG
rnacentral:lncRNA from 1 species